rnacentral:rRNA from 1 species
AGUGAGCGCUGGCGGUAGGCCUAACACAUGCAAGUCGAACGGCAGCACAGUAAGAGCUUGCUCUUACGGGUGGCGAGUGGCGGACGGGUGAGGAAUACAUCGGAAUCUACUUUUUCGUGGGGGAUAACGCAGGGAAACUUACGCUAAUACCGCAUACGACCUACGGGUGAAAGCAGGGGAUCUUCGGACCUUGCGCGAUUGAAUGAGCCGAUGUCGGAUUAGCUAGUUGGCGGGGUAAAGGCCCACCAAGGCGACGAUCCGUAGCUGGUCUGAGAGGAUGAUCAGCCACACUGGAACUGAGACACGGUCCAGACUCCUACGGGAGGCAGCAGUGGGGAAUAUUGGACAAAGGGCGCAAGCCUGAUCCAGCCAUACCGCGUGGGUGAAGAAGGCCUUCGGGUUGUAAAGCCCUUUUGUUGGGAAAGAAAAGCAGCAGGUUAAUACCCCGCUGUUCUGACGGUACCCAAAGAAUAAGCACCGGCUAACUUCGUG